rnacentral:lncRNA from 1 species
UAAAAAUACCUAUUUAAUUUGAUGUAAAAGAUGUAAAACACUUGCUAUUAUGGAUGGUUUAAAAAAUAGUACUCUUACUAAUUUUUCAAAGACAAAUAUAACAAUAUAUAUUACUAAAAAAUGAGUAAAAUUACAAACAUAAAAUAUUAACGGUACACCCAAGAAACAAGAGAAAACCGAUAUACAAAUUUGGCCUACUUUCACCCCUCUCAGUGGAUGAAACAAGAAGAUCAUAUACAAAUCA